rnacentral:lncRNA from 1 species
UACUCGAGUCCUUCCCACCAGCCCCCACUCCCGCCUUACCUGCAACCCUGUGAAGUCCUUGGGGUGUAAGAAUUAGGCCGAGUCCAUCUGCAUCUUCCUGCAGGGCUCCGGGCCAAGCAUCGGCUCACCCAAGACUGCCUAAAGGAGUGAAUGAACCCACGAACCCACGAAAGUGUUCCUCGGUUCGCCUAAGGGAAGAGAUGGUCCAGACAGUUCUCAGGACCCACAGUUAGCAAAGACAAGAAGUCUGCAUGAAGUGCCCAGUAAUAAAAGUGUUUCGGCCGUCAUCAGUGUCAUCAGUAAGAUGUUUGUCCAGGAUCCAGUGUCCUGCUGAAGCAUCCAUUCCUUAGAAGAUGGAAAUGUAAACAAACACCAUCUCUUUACGUCAGAAAUAGAGAGGUUUCCCCACCCAGACCGCUUCCCAAGUAACUGCGACGUGUGGUUUGACCAACAGGCAGGGGGCAAUAGGUCCUGACUCUGUGCUUCUGUCUACACUUAGCAGACUGGGCCCCCUGGGUCAGAGAUGUAUCGAAGAAGGCCUCCCAGCACUGCCUCAUCCUCUUUAGCUUUCAAUGGGC